rnacentral:rRNA from 1 species
UACGUAGGUGGCGAGCGUUGUCCGGAUUUACUGGGCGUAAAGGGCGCGUAGGCGGUUCUUUAAGUCAGGCGUGAAAGCCCUGGGCUCAACCUGGGAGUGGCGCUUGAUACUGGAGGACUAGAGAGUGGGAGAGGUUGGUGGAAUUCCCAGUGUAGAGGUGAAAUUCGUAGAUAUUGGGAAGAACACCGGUGGCGAAGGCGGCCAACUGGACCAUAACUGACGCUGAGGUGCGAAAGCGUGGGGAGCAAACAGG